rnacentral:rRNA from 1 species
AGAGUUUGAUCAUGGCUCAGGAUGAACGCUAGCUACAGGCUUAACACAUGCAAGUCGAGGGGAAACGACAUCGAAAGCUUGCUUUUGAUGGGCGUCGACCGGCGCACGGGUGAGUAACGCGUAUCCAACCUGCCCAUCACUUGGGGAUAACCUUGCGAAAGUAAGACUAAUACCCAAUGACGUCUCUAGAAGACAUCUGAAGGAGAUUAAAGAUUUAUCGGUGAUGGAUGGGGAUGCGUCUGAUUAGCUUGUUGGCGGGGUAACGGCCACCGAGGCGACGAUCAGUAGGGGUUCUGAGAGGAAGGUCCCCCANAUUGGAACUGAGACACGGUCCAAACUCCUACGGGAGGCA